rnacentral:lncRNA from 1 species
UGAAAGUCAACAUGAUAGGGUCGGUAUUAGGGUUCAAGUGUGCAUGAGCAGAGGUGAAGACGAGUGGUUGGCAGGUUGUGAUUGGCUACGCACGUUUUUUGUCCGUUUGUGACUUAAGUAAGGGCAUGACCAAUUGAUGAUGUGUUACAUGAUAUUUUUGUUCAUUUUAUUUAAUUGUCACGCUUCAAAAAUCAGGUUUUUAAAUGGUUUGGAUUGUGGGAUUUGGAGUUCCG